rnacentral:rRNA from 1 species
UACCAGCACCCCGAGUGGUCGGGACGUUUAUUGGGCCUAAAGCAUCCGUAGCCGGUUCUACAAGUCUUCCGUUAAAUCCAGCUGCUUAACAGAUGGGCUGCGGAAGAUACUAUGGAGCUAGGAGGCGGGAGAGGCAAGCGGUACUCGAUGGGUAGGGGUAAAAUCCGUUGAUCCAUUGAAGACCACCAAUGGCGAAGGCAGCUCGCUGGGACGUGACUGACGCUGAGGAGCGAAAGUGUGGGGAGCGAACAGG